rnacentral:rRNA from 1 species
GACGAACGCUGGCGGCGUGCCUAAUACAUGCAAGUCGAGCGAAUCAAUGGGAGUUUGCUCCCUGAGAUUAGCGGCGGACGGGUGAGUAACACGUGGGUAACCUGCCUGUAAGACUGGGAUAACUUCGGGAAACCGGAGCUAAUACCGGAUACGUUCUUUUCUCGCAUGAGGAGAGAUGGAAAGAUGGUUUUGCUAUCACUUACAGAUGGACCCGCGGCGCAUUAGCUAGUUGGUGAGGUAAAGGCUCACCAAGGCGACGAUGCGUAGCCGACCUGAGAGGGUGAUCGGCCACACUGGGAAUGAGACACGGCCCAGACUCCAACGGGAGGCAGCAGUAGGGUAUCUUCCGCAAUGGACGAAAGUCUGACGGAGCAACGCCGCGUGAGCGAAGAAGGCCUCCGGGUCGUAAAGCUCUGUUGUUAGGGAGGAACAAGUAGGAGAGUAACUGCUCGUACCUUGACGGUACCUAACCAGAAAGCCACGGCUAACUACGUGCCAGCAGCCGCCGUAA